CUCAGAGCGGGCGAGAGCGCCGGCACUGGGGAUUCUGGGCAGCGUAGUUCGCUCCCGGGGCUGCGCACGCGCACUGGCGGCCUGGCGGCCUGGCUGGGACGAGCCGGCGCCAUUGCUGGACGCGUUCCCGCCGUGCCCUGCCAGCGCCCUCUGUUGUCCUCUCUUCGGCCGCCAGAUUUGGCAGAGUAUUGCUACUGAAAUGUGAAUGAAGUGUGGUUCCAGAUACAUUCAUCAGGCUUGAAGCAGAAACACUGCUGAAGGAACUAAUGCAGGGCCACAACUUUGCAUGGGCCCCGGAGUCUUCUUGAUAAAACGUAGAUAUGUCUUUGUGGGAUUCCGUUCUUCCCAGAAAGGGGAACACAGAGGAAGAGAUUAUGACUGCUGUGGUUUUUUCAGUUGGACCUCUGGUAAGUUGGGAUUUCUUCUGUUUCCGAAUUACUUUCCUGGGAUGAGAGCAUUUCUACUUUUCCUGAAGUCUUGUGACUUUUCUACCUCUCCCACUCCCCAUGUGGAAACAACCAAAUUUCUUG
rnacentral:lncRNA from 1 species